AGCGAACGUUUGCGGCGGGCCUAACACAUGCAAGUCGAACGGGCAGUCCCUUCGGGGGCUGUCAGUGGCGCACGGGUGCGUAACACGUAGGUAAUCAACCCUCGGGUUCGGGAUAACACUUCGAAAGGGGUGCUAAUACCGGAUGCGACGAGCGUCUCCUCGGAGAUGCACGGGAAAGAUCCGCAAGGGUCGCCCGAGGACGAGCCUGCGGCCCAUCAGCUUGUUGGUGAGGUAAUGGGCUCACCAAGGCUAAGACGGGUAGCUGGUCUGAGAGGAUGAUCAGUCACACUGGAACUGAGACACGGUCCAGACUCCUACGGGAGGCAGCAGUGGGGAAUAUUGCGCAAUGGGCGAAAGCCUGACGCAGCCACGCCGCGUGUGUGAAGAAGGCCUCGGUUGUAAG
rnacentral:rRNA from 1 species